UACGAAGGGGGCGAGCGUUGUCCGGAUUUACUGGGCGUAAAGCGCGUGUAGGCGGCGCGUUAAGUUGGGUGUGAAAGCCCGGGGCUCAACCCCGGGACGCCGCCCAAGACUGGCGCGCUUGAGGACGGAAGAGGGGCGUGGAAUUCCAGGUGUAGCGGUGAAAUGCGUAGAUAUCUGGAGGAAUACCGGUGGCGAAGGCGGCAUCCUGGACCGACAUUGACGCUGAACGGCGAAAGCUAGGGGAGCAAACGGG
rnacentral:rRNA from 1 species